GCUGGCGGCGUGCCUAACACAUGCAAGUCGAACGAGAACGGGUUAAAGUUUACUUUAACUGUCAGCUAAGUGGCGCACGGGUGAGUAAUAUAUAGUUAAUCUGCCCCAAAGAAGAGAAUAAUUGUUGGAAACGACUUGUAACUCUCUAUAUGCCUUUAUCACAUAAGUGAGCAAGGGAAACAUUUAUGGCUUUGGGAUGAGACUGUACGGUAUCAGUUAGUUGGUAAGGUAAUGGCUUACCAAGACUAUGACGCCUAACUGGUUUGAGAGGAUGAUCAGUCACACUGGAACUGAGACACGGUCCAGACUCCUACGGGAGGCAGCAGUGGGGAAUAUUGCACAAUGGAGGAAACUCUGAUGCAGCAACGCCGCGUGGAGGAUGACACAUUUCGGUGCGUAAACUCCUUUUAUAUGAGAAGAUAAUGACGGUAUCAUAUGAAUAAGCACCGGCUAACUCCGUGCCAGCAGCCGCGGUAAUACGGGGGGUGCAAGCGUUACUCGGAAUCACUGGGCGUAAAGAGCAUGUAGGCGGAUAGAUAAGUUGGAAGUGAAAUCCUAUGGCUUAACCAUAGAACUGCUUCCAAAACUGUCUAUCUAGAAUAUGGGAGAGGUAGAUGGAAUUUCUGGUGUAGGGGUAAAAUCCGUAGAGAUCAGAAGGAAUACCGAUUGCGAAGGCGAUCUACUGGAACAUUAUUGACGCUCAGAUGCGAAAGCGUGGGGAGCAAACAGGAUUAGAUACCCUGGUAGUCCACGCCCUAAACGAUGCACACUAGUUGUUGCCUUGCUAGACAAGGCAGUAAUGCAGUUAACACAGUAAGUGUGCCGCCUGGGGAGUACGGUCGCAAGAUGGAGCG
rnacentral:rRNA from 1 species